UCCUCUUUACAGAGGCAGUUUGUUCCGAGUCCCCGACUUUACUCGCUGGUAACAGAACAUGAGGGUUGCGCUCGUUGCGGGACUUAACCCAACAUUUCACAACACGAGCUGACGACAGCCAUGCACCACCUGUGUAUCACCCUCGAAGGCGACUACUUUUCGGCAGCUUGCAGAUACAUGUCAAGCCCUGGUAAGGUUUUUCGCGUUGCAUCGAAUUAAACCACAUGCUCCACCGCUUGUGCAGGCCCCCGUCAAUUCCUUUGAGUUUUAAUCUUGCGACCGUACUCCCCAGGCGGAUAACUUAAUGCGUUAGCUGCGCCACCCAGGCACCAAGUGCCCGGACAGCUAGUUAUCAUCGUUUACGGCAUGGACUAC
rnacentral:misc_RNA from 1 species